GAUGAAGAACGUAGCGAAAUGCGAUAAGUAAUGUGAAUUGCAGAAUUCAGUGAAUCAUCGAAUCUUUGAACGCACAUUGCGCCCGCCGGUAUUCCGGCGGGCAUGCCUGUCCGAGCGUCAUUUCACCACUCAAGCCCGGCUUGGUGUUGGGGCGCCCGGCCGCCUGGCGGUCGGGGCCCCCAAGUACAUCGGUGGUCCUGCUGGGGCUCCGAGCGCAGUAACUCGCGGUAAAACGCGCCCUCGCUCGGCGGCCUCUUCGGGCUUCCAGCCGCUAAACCCCCAGUGACGUUUUUCGAGUUGACCUCGGAUCAGGUAGGAAUACCCGCUGAACUUAAGCAUAUCAAUAAGCGGAGGA
rnacentral:misc_RNA from 1 species